AGUCAGUCAUGUCUAUUGGACUCAGCCGGUUCUGCCGGUGUACUUCCUUUAGAUGGGGUCAACAUCAGUUUUGAUCGCUGGAAAAGGGCAGGAGGAAUGUAGCACUCUCGGGUGAACUUAUAGCCUUCUGUCGUAUACAGUGGUUGGGACUGAGGAACGCAGCAUGCCUUUAUGGCCGGGGUUCGCCCACGUACAUGCUUAGGAUGUUGACAUAAUGGCUUUAAACGACCCGUCUUGA
rnacentral:rRNA from 1 species